rnacentral:rRNA from 1 species
UAUCUCUGUAGAGUCUGCAUAUCAAUAAGCGGAGGAAAAGAAACUAACAUAGGAUUCCCUCAGUAACGGCGAGUGAAGCGGGAAGAGCUCAAAUUUGAAAUCUUCAAGGUUCUACCUUGACGAAUUGUAGUUUAUAGAAGUGUUUUCUGUUAGUGGAGUGGCAAAAGUUCUUUGGAAUAGGACAUCACAGAGGGUGAGAAUCCCGUAUUUGGUCAUUCCUCCUAGCGUUGUGAUACACUUUCAACGAGUCGGAUUGUUUGGGAAUGCAGUCCAAAGUGGGUGGUAAAUUUCAUCUAAAGCUAAAUAUUGGCGAGAGACCGAUAGCGAACAAGUACCGUGAGGGAAAGAUGAAAAGAACUUUGAAAAGAGAGUUAAACAGUACGUGAAAUUGUCAAAGGGAAGCGUUUGACACCAGUGUUGCUUUUCCGAAAAUCAAUUAAGAAUGUUUUAGUUUUUGAGGAGUUAUGACUUCAUCGGCUUGCUCCUUUCUUUACUGAAACUUUCUUAAUGCACUUUUCGGUUAACAAGUCAACAUCAAUUUCUUUUGUUGUAAAAGGAGUAUGAGGAAGGUGGCUUUCUUUUCGGAGAAAGUGUUUAUAGCCUUGUAGCUUCUGCAAUCGGAGAGAUUGAGGUCUGCAGCGUAGAUCCUUCGGGGUUAGAUACAGUUUGUGCUAAGUUAUAGCCUUUUCAUAGACAACUUGUUGAUUAUGAUUAAGUCAUUGUAGCUUACUCGCUUAUGCUAUUUUACCUACGCUUAGGAUGUUGAGUAGCGACAUACGCAC